rnacentral:rRNA from 1 species
UAGGGAAUCUUCCGCAAUGGGCGAAAGCCUGACGGAGCAACGCCGCGUGAGUGAUGAAGGUCUUCGGAUCGUAAAACUCUGUUAUUAGGGAAGAACAAAUGUGUAAGUAACUAUGCACGUCUUGACGGUACCUAAUCAGAAAGCCACGGCUAACUACGUGCCAGCAGCCGCGGUAAUACGUAGGUGGCAAGCGUUAUCCGGAAUUAUUGGGCGUAAAGCGCGCGUAGGCGGUUUUUUAAGUCUGAUGUGAAAGCCCACGGCUCAACCGUGGAGGGUCAUUGGAAACUGGAAAACUGGAGUGCAGAAGAGGAAAGUGGAAUACCAUGUGUAGCGGUGAAAUGCGCAGAGAUAUGGAGGAACACCAGUGGCGAAGGCGACUUUCUGGUCUGUAACUGACGCUGAUGUGCGAAAGCGUGGGGAUCAAACAGG